GAUGAAGAACGUAGCGAAAUGCGAUAAGUAAUGUGAAAUGCAGAAUUCAGUGAAUCAUCGAAUCUUUGAACGCACAUUGCGCCCGCCAGUAUUCUGGCGGGCAUGCCUGUUCGAGUGUCAUUUCAACCAUCAAGCCCCAGGCUUGUGUUGGAGCCCUGCGGCUGCCGCAGCCUCCCAAAACCAGUGGCGGGCUCGCUAUCACACCGAGUGCAGUAGUUUACUCUUCGCUCAGGGCGUGUGGCGGGUGCUAGCCGUAAAACCCCCAACUUCUCAAGGUUGACCUCGGAUCAGGUAGGAAUACCCGCUGAACUUAAGCAUAUCAAUAAGCGGAGGA
rnacentral:misc_RNA from 1 species